GGGCAUGUAGCUCAAUGGUAGAGCACUCUCCUAGCAAGUGCUGGGCCCUGGGUUUAAUCCCUAGCACUACCA
rnacentral:tRNA from 1 species